rnacentral:rRNA from 1 species
AGUCACAGCCAUAUCACCCUGCAGCCCAAGACCGGUAACUGAGCCUGGUCAGUACCUGGAUGGGAGACCACGAGGGAACUCUAGGUUGCUGUUGGAA